rnacentral:rRNA from 1 species
AUUGAACGCUGGCGGCAGGCCUAACACAUGCAAGUCGAGCGGAUGAAGGGAGCUUGCUCCUGGAUUCAGCGGCGGACGGGUGAGUAAUGCCCAGGAAUCUGCCUGGUAGUGGGGGAUAACGUCCGGAAACGGGCGCUAAUACCGCAUACGUCCUGAGGGAGAAAGUGGGGGAUCUUCGGACCUCACGCUAUCAGAUGAGCCUAGGUCGGAUUAGCUAGUUGGUGGGGUAAAGGCCUACCAAGGCGACGAUCCGUAACUGGUCUGAGAGGAUGAUCAGUCACACUGGAACUGAGACACGGUCCAGACUCCUACGGGAGGCAGCAGUGGGGAAUAUUGGACAAUGGGCGAAAGCCUGAUCCAGCCAUGCCGCGUGUGUGAAGAAGGUCUUCGGAUUGUAAAGCACUUUAAGUUGGGAGGAAGGGCAGUAAGUUAAUACCUUGCUGUUUUGACGGUACCAACAGAAUAAGCACCGGCUAACUUCGUG